GACGAACGCUGGCGGCGUGCUUAACACAUGCAAGUCGAACGGAAAGGCCCUGCUUUUGUGGGGUGCUCGAGUGGCGAACGGGUGAGUAACACGUGAGUAACCUGCCCUUGACUUUGGGAUAACUUCAGGAAACUGGGGCUAAUACCGGAUAGGAGCUCCUGCUGCAUGGUGGGGGUUGGAAAGUUUCGGCGGUUGGGGAUGGACUCGCGGCUUAUCAGCUUGUUGGUGGGGUAGUGGCUUACCAAGGCUUUGACGGGUAGCCGGCCUGAGAGGGUGACCGGCCACAUUGGGACUGAGAUACGGCCCAGACUCCUACGGGAGGCAGCAGUGGGGAAUAUUGCAAAAUGGGCGGAAGCCUGAUGCAGCAACGCCGCGUGCGGGAUGACGGCCUUCGGGUUGUAAACCGCUUUCGCCUGUGACGAAGCGUGAGUGACGGUAAUGGGUAAAGAAGCUCCGGCUAACUACGUG
rnacentral:rRNA from 1 species